rfam:Pristionchus pacificus strain PS312 contig4724, whole genome shotgun sequence.
GUGCGUGUGAUGAGCCAACACUUUUCCCUCGAACCAAUCGUGUGAGGAAAAUGAGCUUUUUAACUCUGAUGCGUA